rnacentral:rRNA from 1 species
UACGAAGGGUGCAAGCGUUACUCGGAAUUACUGGGCGUAAAGCGUGCGUAGGCGGUUUGUCGCGUCUGCUGUGAAAACCCGAGGCUCAACCUCGGGCCUGCAGUGGGUACGGGCAGACUAGAGUGCGGUAGGGGAGAUUGGAAUUCCUGGUGUAGCGGUGGAAUGCGCAGAUAUCAGGAGGAACACCGAUGGCGAAGGCAGAUCUCUGGGCCGUAACUGACGCUGAGGAGCGAAAGCAUGGGGAGCGAACAGG